rnacentral:tRNA from 1 species
GCAGUUCUGGCUCAGUGGUAGAGCACUUGCCUAUCAUGUAUGAGGCAAUGGGUUCAAUUCUCAGCACUGCA